rnacentral:rRNA from 1 species
GCAAGUCGAGCGGUAAGGCCCUUCGGGGUACACGAGCGGCGAACGGGUGAGUAACACGUGGGUAACCUGCCCUGUACUCUGGGAUAAGCCUUGGAAACGAGGUCUAAUACCGGAUAUGACACUGAACUGCAUGGUUUGGUGUGGAAAGUUCCGGCGGUACAGGAUGGACCCGCGGCCUAUCAGCUUGUUGGUGGGGUAAUGGCCUACCAAGGCGACGACGGGUAGCCGGCCUGAGAGGGUGACCGGCCACACUGGGACUGAGACACGGCCCAGACUCCUACGGGAGGCAGCAGUGGGGAAUAUUGCACAAUGGGCGAAAGCCUGAUGCAGCGACGCCGCGUGAGGGAUGACGGCCUUCGGGUUGUAAACCUCUUUCAGCAGGGACGAAGCGCAAGUGACGGUACCUGCAGAAGAAGCACCGGCUAACUACGUGCCAGCAGCCGCGGUAAUACGUAGGGUGCGAGCGUUGUCCGGAAUUAUUGGGCGUAAAGAGCUCGUAGGCGGUUUGUCGCGUCGGCCGUGAAAACUUGGGGCUUAACUCCAAGCUUGCGGUCGAUACGGGCAGACUUGAGUUCGGCAGGGGAGACUGGAAUUCCUGGUGUAGCGGUGAAAUGCGCAGAUAUCAGGAGGAACACCGGUGGCGAAGGCGGGUCUCUGGGCCGACACUGACGCUGAGGAGCGAAAGCGUGGGGAGCGAACAGGAUUAGAUACCCUGGUAGUCCACGCCGUAAACGGUGGGUGCUAGGUGUGGGGGGCUUCCACGCCCUCUGUGCCGCAGCUAACGCAUUAAGCACCCCGCCUGGGGAGUACGGCCGCAAGGCUAAAACUC